GAUGAACGCUGGCGGCGUGCCUAAUACAUGCAAGUCGAGCGAACGGACGAGAAGCUUGUUUCUCUGAUGUUAGCGGCGGACGGGUGAGUAACACGUGGAUAACCUACCUAUAAGACUGGGAUAACUUCGGGAAACCGUAGCUAAUACCGGAUAAUAUUUUGAACCGCAUGGUUCAAAAGUGAAAGACGGUAUUGCUUUCACUUAUGGAUGGAUCCGCGGUGCAUUAGAUAGUUGGUAGGGUAACGGCUUACCAAGGCAACGAUGCAUAGCCGACGUGAGAGUGUUCUGGGACACAGGGGCACUGAGACGCGCUCCACACUCCUACGGGGGGCAGCAGUGGGGAAUCCUCCGAAAUGGGCGAAAGCCUCACGGAGCAACGGCGCGUGAGUGGUGGAGGUCUUCGGAUCGUAAAACUGUGUUAUUAGGGAAGAACAUAUGUGUAAGUAACUGUGAACAUCUUGCCGGUACCUAAUCAGAAAGCCACGGCUAACUACGUG
rnacentral:rRNA from 1 species